rnacentral:rRNA from 1 species
CGUCUAUAUACGUAUAGCAUAUCAAUAAGCGGAGGAAAAGAAACUAACAAGGAUUCCCUUAGUAACGGCGAGUGAAGCGGGAAGAGCUCAAAUUUGAAAUCUUCAAGGUUCUACCUUGACGAAUUGUAGUUUAUAGAAGUGUUUUCUGUUAGUGGAGUGGCAAAAGUUCUUUGGAAUAGGACAUCAUAGAGGGUGAGAAUCCCGUAUUUGGUCAUUCCUCCUAGCGUUGUGAUACACUUUCAAAGAGUCGGAUUGUUUGGGAAUGCAGUCCAAAAUGGGUGGUAAAUUUCAUCUAAAGCUAAAUAUUGGCGAGAGACCGAUAGCGAACAAGUACCGUGAGGGAAAGAUGAAAAGAACUUUGAAAAGAGAGUUAAACAGUACGUGAAAUUGUCAAAAGGGAAGCGUUUGACACCAGUGUUGUUUUAGUUGAAAAUCAAUUCAAUAGUUUUUGAUUCUAAGUAGUAUUGACUUCAUCAGCUUGCUGCUUUCUUCUCAGAAAUUAUUGAAUGCACUUUUCAGUUAACAAGUCAACAUCAAUUUCUUUUGUUGUAAAAGGGUAAGAGGAAGGUGGCUUGCGCUUCGGCUCAAGUGUUUAUAGCCUUUUAUCUCUGCAAUCGGAGAGAUUGAGGUCUGCAGCGUAGAUCCUUCGGGGUUAGAUACAUUGGUGCUAAGCUAUAGCCUUGUAUAGACAACUUGUUGACUAUGCUCAGUCAUGUAGCUUACUCGCUGAUGCUAUUUUACCUACGCUUAGGAUGUUGA